CAACCACACAUUAGGUAUUUUGCCAGUGAAAAGCGGUGAAGUCCCAUGACGGGGUGGCAUUUAUCCAUCCAGUUGCUUCACUGGGGAGAGGACAGCAAUCAUCAACAAGAGGAAGAGGAUUUAGAAAACCCACAGCGAUUAAUAGGGACUGCAGCCCUCGCAGCAGAACGGCGGCGGGACCCUACCUGGGUCGGGGGAACCGCACAUGGCACCCCACGGCUGAUGCUCGACUGUUCCCAGUGCUGAAGCUGGAGCGUUGAUGCUGUGCCACAUGAACGCAUUGCAUGGUACCUUACAGUCAGGCAAAAUUUCUGUAUUUCAGGGAAACCGGUUAACUGCCCUGGGGAAGGUUCUUGCCAUGAACAAGAGUAACUUACACUCCGAGCCCUGUUUAAAGGCUGUGGGGAUCACUUUGCAGCAGAGGUGUUUCCCUGCCACGCUGGGAACUGCCAAAUGCUGUCCUGUACCCUGCGGGAGAGGCACGGGUGGGCUACGCUCCCCUUUUAGCAACCAGCUCCUUUUCACUGCUUGGCUGCCGCAGGGAUUUUGCAUCCCUGGCUGUCUCAAACGGGCUGGCUGAAGGCCACCUGCGCAGAGCCCCAGCUCGCCUGCAACGCCCCAGCUCCACAACUCUCCCGGGUUCUCAGUGCCCACCAAACCCACGCCAAGCACUUCAGAAAUUAGGUCUCUGCAGCCGCAGAAGCGGUGGGAGCAGCCGUGCCGGCAGACAACGGGGACCUGCGCUCCAGCCUCCCCAGAGCCCUUGGCUGGAAGGAGCCGCUCCAUCAUUUCCAUGACCUUUUCACAUGGCUCUUGUAAAGGCGAGGAGGAAGAUGCUGGUCUUCCAGCUUGUUUCUUUUUGCUUUCAGCGCAGGACCUGGCAAGCUGUGAGACCGAGGAGCCAGGUGUUGUCCUUACCACGGCUCUCUCCUCGAAAUCGAGAGGAUGGUGCAGGAAACCCGCCGCUGCCCUCCCAGCCGUGGGAUGGGCAAAGCAUCCGCUCAGCACAGCCCUGCGCUUACCUUCUGACUUCUUGCUAAGGGCCUGGAAGGGAUUGACUUCGCCCCGCUUUACAGAAUAACAACGCAGGGGUGGCUGGAGCCACUUUGGUGGAACAGUUUCACAAUGAACUCGCUGCGGUUCAGCAAACCUCAGGCACCUUGCAUCUGAGGAACAGGAACUCAGUGACUGAGGUCUGCAGGACGCAAGCCCAGCCCUGCAGGAAAACGAACUUGCUACGGUGUCAAAAACCCAACAAAACACUCACGAGCUUGGCGCUUGGGACGUGUCCCCUGCGGCGGGUGUCCCGAGCCUGCACGUGCCACC